rnacentral:rRNA from 1 species
UACGUAGGUGGCGAGCGUUGUCCGGAUUUACUGGGCGUAAAGGGAGCGUAGGCGGACUUUUAAGUGAGAUGUGAAAUACCCGGGCUCAACUUGGGUGCUGCAUUUCAAACUGGAAGUCUAGAGUGCAGGAGAGGAGAAUGGAAUUCCUAGUGUAGCGGUGAAAUGCGUAGAGAUUAGGAAGAACACCAGUGGCGAAGGCGAUUCCCUGGACUGUAACUGACGCUGAGGCUCGAAAGCGUGGGGAGCAAACAGGAUUAGAUACCCCUGUA